rnacentral:rRNA from 1 species
GUCAACGGCCAUACCACUCUGAACGUGCCCGAUCUUGUCUGAUCUCAGAAGCUAAGCAGGGUCAGGCCUGGUUAGUACUUGGAUGGGAGAAAUGUUGGUU